rnacentral:tRNA from 4 species
UGGGGGGUCGGAUAAGGGUAAUCCGGCAGACUUUGGAUCUGCACAUCGAGGUUCGAGUCCUCGCCCCCCAGCCA